GUUGAGGGAAAGGAAGACUUUUUGAAAGGAUUGAUGUCAAGAGGCACAGAGUAAUUAUACAUCUAUUAAUUAUUUUAUCCCAGAACUUUUAUUUAUUCUGGUGCUUUUACAGUUGCUUUUGUAUUCUACUUUCAAAAAUCCUCUUUUGUAUUAUGCGGCCCCUUUUUGCUAGUCUCCAGAAUAUUUAACUCAAACUUUUCUUAGUUGAAAGAGCUUCAGAAAGCAUCAAGAUAGGUCAGGGAAGCAUGCAUGAGUUUUUCUGCAGUAGUUAUUCUUUUGACCCGUUGAUCUAGCCAUUGUGCACACCCUUAGGUUUACAGUGUUCUUGGAGACAAGAUUUGGGAAUCCUGCCUAUUAAUUCCCAUGUUGGUGCCUCUGAUACAGUCUUGAACGAUUUAGUCUAAAUUCGACUUAAAACUAUGUGAUAUUCCUAGCUGUUCAUUUCCUUCCCCUCCUUCAAAUGACUCACAUUUCUACCAAUUAACAAAUAAAGUUUUCAUUUUCUUUUUGUAUGACUAAUAAUUAAUUAUAGUUGCCAUUGAGAAGAAUGUCAUUCACUUUUUAAUUAAUUGAGACUAUAGAUUAACUUAGAAUUAACUAUAUAUUAUACACUCUGCUAAGGUGUUCAGGAUAUAGCCCAAGUUCUGAUAGUUGCCCCUAGUGCUUACUGCUAUUUAAUGUACUGUGUAGUUUACUUAUUUAUGCUGUUUAUUGUCUCUCUUCAUAGAAUGAAAACUCCAUGAGUGCAGGAAUCUUUGUCUGUUUUAUUCUCAAGUAUGUCACCAACCCCUAGAACUAUGCCUGUGAAUAAAUUUUCAGUCAUUGUUUGUUGAAAGAAUGAAAGACUGAGCCCCCAGGUGGAGCAUGAUAUUUAUGUCAUUAGUCAGUGUGUCAUGAGUUUAUUUUAGCCAUUUGCCCUCCUUUAACCUUUGCCAUCCUUUCCCUACCUACUCCCCUCCUGAUUUAAAGCAUUAUGCUUUCAAACCACUUAACGCUGAAAUGAGCUGGUUUUAUGAAUAUGGAUUAACCUCUUUUUUUCCCAAGGAGAUUUUCAUUCUCAGGCAGACAUGGACUAAGUACAUUUAUGCUUUUCUUUCUUGUGUCGACUACCUUUACCUGUGAUGAGUGCUCUGAGAACACAAUUAGACCCACGUGUGUGAGCCAGGGGUGAGAUCUUGGCAUUUCAGAGAGAAGAGAACAAUGUUCCGACUAAACUGUAACGAGAGCUGAACCAAAACAGUCACUGGGUUCCUAGUGUAAAAUCACAUUCUCAUCUUUUAAAGCCAACAUCUCCAUUCCCUCAGAUUGGUCAUGUUCUGGCUCUUGGUGCAGCUGCUUUCAUGCUGUGAAAAUGGACUGCUCUGCUGUCUCAGGCUCCAUAGGGGUAUGAGCAUUUGAUUUCUCCACAAAUAGAGCGGAGAAAUAGAACCAUAGAAUAACACUGUGGACACAUUUAACAAUAUUUAUUCAGUGAGUAAAAGAGCUAGACCUUUGUUACAUUGUCUGCUCUCCCAGUCAAUAAAUGUUUUUGCAACCAUUGGGCAAUGUUUGAAAUCAGCCUAUCCUAAUUAAUGGGAUAUUAAUUACUUUAAUGAUAAUGUUCAAUAGAUUAUAAACAGUUUUUUUCAUGUACUAUAAAAGGUAAUAAAUGACAGGGAGUAGGAUGGAGGGUGGGAAGUGGGGAUGGCUGGGAUGGGGGGAGUAGUGGGGGGAGUAGGGAGACAA